UGGGGGAUAUUGCACAAUGGGCGAAAGCCUGAUGCAGCGACGCCGCGUGGGGGAUGAAGGCUUUCGGGUUGUAAACCUCUUUCGCUAUCGAACAAGGCCCGCUUAGGGUGGGUUGAGGGUAGGUGGAGAAGAAGCGCCGGCUAACUACGUGCCAGCAGCCGCGGUAAUACGUAGGGCGCGAGCGUUGUCCGGAAUUAUUGGGCGUAAAGGGCUUGUAGGCGGCUUGUUGCGCCUUCUGUGAAAACGCGGGGCUUAACUUCGCGCGUGCAGUGGGUACGGGCAGGCUUGAGUGUGGUAGGGGUGACUGGAAUUCCAGGUGUAGCGGUGGAAUGCGCAGAUAUCUGGAGGAACACCGAUGGCGAAGGCAGGUCACUGGGCCAUUACUGACGCUGAGGAGCGAAAGCAUGGGUAGCGAACAGG
rnacentral:rRNA from 1 species